GACACAUUUGUUCUGAUUGAAGCUCCGGGGAGAAAUGUAACAGAACUGUGGAGGAAUGUGGAGACUAAGAAGCUAACCAAGAAGCUAACCGAGCAGGAACCCAGGACCAUACCAAGGGCAUCCGAAGGAAGCAGCAAAUUCAGAACACCGGCUAGUGUUGCCUGAGGUCUCGGCUGAAACACCGAGUUCCAGCAUUUGCUUGGUGCUGGCCUCACCUCAGCAUCCGGGUUGUGAGUCAUCCAGGACUAGCGAGUCACACUUUGGCAGGAAUGGCUCUUCCUCUUGAGAAGUCGAAGCUGUUGGAGGAGUGACACUGGCUUCUCUGGAGCUGGAUGUCGUCUCAGUCCAUCAUGUAUGCAGCUGCGGUUGACAUUCUAAGGAAACUUGCACUUUCUACAUAGAAUCCUGGAUUUUUAAAUUGAUGUGAGUCAAAAUUUAUACUUCAUCUCAUUAAUUCAAUUGAGUUUGAAUAAUCCAUUAAAUUUAUAAAUGAAAAUAU